GUUCAUUACAGGAUUAUUAUCAGAAAGUGGGGGAAGAAAGGCUUCCAGGGCUCCCUCUUGCCUUCGGAAUAAAUCUCAGUUGGGUCUCCUGAGAGCAGAAUCUAAGAUUAAGACCUGGAUGCAGAUCCUUCAUGGGGUUGUCUGGGUUGUCCCCAGAGUGAGGGAGCAGAAACAGAGACAAAGAGAAGAGGCCAAUGUGUGGCACAACAGGGACACCACUGUGGAAGGCAACAAGGAUUCAGCUCUGCAAAGACCUGGAGACGCUUCCUGAGGCACUUUCCGGGCUGUCCACCCGAAAGGUGGGAGUCUGGAACAGUGACCCACCACUCCAGACCCCAAUGCAUGAGGUUAACCUGGAGUAUGUCAGCCAUCGACCCUCCUCAAGUGAAGCCCUUUGGCCUGCGAGACUCCCAGGGGCAGAAGGUGCAGAACUACCCUGAAGAUAGAUGUUCCCGCUGCUCCUGAGGCCGGGUCAUGCAGCUUCCUUACACCUGUGUCUUCUGACUGCCCCACACUCCUUCAGAUACAGAGAAUAAUGAAUUCCAGGCACCCACGAUGCAGCCAGCCACUCUCCAUAUACUCCUUAUGUUCUCAGGCCAGCCCUGCCCCAAAUUCCUGGGCAACUCUGUUUAUCCUUUAAAACUCAGCUUGAACAUCGGAUCUUUCUUGACUUCACUGUACCCCUAUAGCCCCGAAUCACAUGCCUUUCCUCUGUCCUGUGGAUACCCAUAUCCAUCUCUGCUACAGCGUUCUUUGAGUUCCAAUUAUUGAUAUUCUCAUCUGUUACUGUUACACUGAGAACUCUCUGAAGAUUGGAAAAACAUUAAUUACCCAUUCAUUUAACAACUAUAUGUUGAGUGCUAUGUGAAAUGCAUUGUUCUGGACAUUGGGGACAUAAAAAUGAAUAAGGAAGACAGACUUCUUGCUCUCAUGGAGCAUUUGUUGGAUGGAUGGAUGGAUGGAUGGAUGGAUGGAUGGAUGGAUGGAUGGAUGGUUAGUUUGGCAGUUGGGUAGUUCGGUGUGUUCAUGCAAGGAUGGGAGGGUGGCAAAUGGAUGGAUGAAGAGAAGGUUCAUGGAUGCAUGUGUGAGUAAAUACAUGGAUGGAGCUUUGAUGUGGAAGAGUCCACUGUAAGGGAAUAAAAGGUUUUCUCUUCAGUUAAACA
rnacentral:lncRNA from 13 species